CGAGUGGCUUGGUCUUGGUCACAU
rnacentral:siRNA from 1 species